rnacentral:rRNA from 1 species
AAACCAACAGGGAUUGCCUCAGUAACGGCGAGUGAAGCGGCAAAAGCUCAAAUUUGAAAUCCCCCGGGAAUUGUAAUUUGAAGAGAUUUGGGUCCGGCCGGCGGGGGUUAAGUCCACUGGAAAGUGGCGCCACAGAGGGUGACAGCCCCGUGAACCCCUUUAACGCCUUCAUCCCAGAUCUCCAAGAGUCGAGUUGUUUGGGAAUGCAGCUCUAAGUGGGUGGUAAAUUCCAUCUAAAGCUAAAUACCGGCGAGAGACCGAUAGCGAACAAGUACAGUGAUGGAAAGAUGAAAAGCACUUUGAAAAGAGAGUGAAAAAGUACGUGAAAUUGUUGAAAGGGAAGGGCUUGCAAGCAGACACUUAACUGGGCCAGCAUCGGGGCGGCGGGAAACAAAACCACCGGGGAAUGUACCUUUCGAGGAUUAUAACCCCGGUCCUUAUUUCCUUGCUGCCCCGAGGCCUGCAAUCUAAGGAUGCUGGCGUAAUGGUUGCAAGUCGC